rnacentral:rRNA from 1 species
AACGAACGCUGGCGGCAUGCCUAACACAUGCAAGUCGAACGAAGGCUUCGGCCUUAGUGGCGCACGGGUGCGUAACGCGUGGGAAUCUGCCCUUAGGUUCGGAAUAACAGUUGGAAACGACUGCUAAUACCGGAUGAUGACGAAAGUCCAAAGAUUUAUCGCCUGAGGAUGAGCCCGCGUAGGAUUAGCUAGUUGGUGUGGUAAGAGCGCACCAAGGCGACGAUCCUUAGCUGGUCUGAGAGGAUGAUCAGCCACACUGGGACUGGGACACGGCCCAGACUCCUACGGGAGGCAGCAAGAGGGAAUAUUGGACAAUGGGCGAAAGCCUGAUCCAGCAAUGCCGCGUGAGGGAUGAAGGCCUUAGGGUUGUAAAGCUCUUUUACCCGGGAUGAUAAUGACAGUACCGGGAGAAUAAGCUCCGGCUAACUCCGUGCCAGCCGCCGCCGUAAAAC